UUACCUUUGCAACGCAUUGGUUUCAAAGCCCCGGUCAGGGUGUAGAAUGAAAAGGGAAUCGGGUGUGAAUCCCGAACAGUCCCGCUGCUGUGAACUCCAAAAAAGGUUCCGAGAAUACUGAAAGCCACUGAUUAUGACGAUUGGGAAGGCCUCGGUUACCGGAGUAAGUCAGAAGACCUGCCAUGCUGUUUGUCAUUAGC
rnacentral:ncRNA from 19 species